rnacentral:rRNA from 1 species
UCCGUAGCCGGUUUGAUCAGUCUUUUGGGAAAUCUGACAGCUUAACUGUUAGGCUUCCAAAGGAUACUGUCAGACUUGGGACCGGGAGAGGUAAGAGGUACUACAGGGGUAGGAGUGAAAUCUUGUAAUCCCUGUGGGACCACCAGUGGCGAAGGCGUCUUACCAGAACGGGUCCGACGGUGAGGGACGAAAGCUGGGGGCACGAACCGGAUUAGAUACCCGGGUAGUCCCAGCCGUAAACGAUGCUCGCUAGGUGUCAGGAAUGGUGCGACCGUUUCUGGUGCCGUAGGGAAGCCGUGAAGCGAGCCACCUGGGAAGUACGGCCGUAAGGCUGAAACUUAAAGGAAUUGGCGGGGGAGCACUACAACGGGUGGAGCCUGCGGUUUAAUUGGACUCAACGCCGGAAAACUCACCGGGGGCGACAGCAAUAUGUAGGUCAGGCUAAAGACCUUACCCGAAUCGCUGAGAGGAGGUGCAUGGCCGUCGUCAGUUCGUACUGUGAAGCAUCCUGUUAAGUCAGGCAACGAGCGAGACCCGUGCCCACUGUUGCCAGCAUGUUCUUCGGAAUGAUGGGUACUCUGUGGGGACCGCCGCUGCUAAAGCGGAGGAAGGUGCGGGCUACGGUAGGUCAGUAUGCCCCGAAUCUCCCGGGCUACACGCGGGCUACAAUGAUUGGGACAAUGGGUCCCUACCCUGAAAAGGGAUGGUAAUCUCAUAAACCCAAUCGUAGUUCGAAUCGAGGACUGUAACUCGUCCUCGUGAAGCUGGAAUCCGUAGUAAUCGCGUUUCAACAUAGCGCGGUGAAUACGUCCCUGCUCCUUGCACACACUGCCCGUCAAACCACCCGAGUGAGGUAUGGGUGAGGGCACGGACAUGAGUGCCGUGUUCGAACCUAAAUUUCGCAAGGGGGGUUAAGUCG